CAUUUAGCUCAGUCUGCAGCGUGUGUAAAUAACAGGAGAUGCUUCUUGUAUGUACAGGGAUCACAAACUGAUGUAAAAUUGACAGGUGACACCUGAGGCAGAGGUUACUGAUUGUGGUGCACCGGAUAUCACGUUGAGUAACUAGGCACCUGUCUGUCUUGUCUUUUACAUCCUCUGCAAGUCCUAAGAGCAAGCUCUUAGAAGGGUUUCUCUGUGUACCUGGCUAUCCUGGGACUUGAUUUGAAGGCCAGGGUGGAACUCAAAGAGAUUGGCCUGCCUCUACUUACUGAGUGCUGGAAUUAAAGGUCUGUGCCACCAUUGCCCAGCAGAAAUCUGGAUUUUUAUGUGAAGGUAGGGGUGGUUUUGUUUGUUUUGUUUUUGUUUUUCAAAAUAACAAGGAAACUUCUAGAAGCAAAAGAGAUCACACAUGCCAGGAGGUCGAGACCAUCGUGGUCUACAAGAGCUAGUUCCAGGACAGCCUCCAAAGCUGUCUGGGGGGGGGGGGGGGGCGGGGAGAUCACACAUAUAGAGGUCACAUACCACCUGCCAUAAUCUUGGAAUUUCUAGUAUAUAUCCUAAGGAAUGGUGACAGUUAUGAAAGCCAACAACAUUAUUAGGAAAGGUUGUGUCAGAAAGCUACAAAUAUAAAUGUGUGAUCACUUUUUUCUGAUGUUUUGGAAAGCAGUUGUUUUCCCUGAGCAAGGCUAUAUAGUACACGGAUACUGAAUUUACAGUAGCUUACCCUUACCCGGGG
rnacentral:lncRNA from 1 species